rnacentral:rRNA from 1 species
UACGUAGGCAGCAAGCGUUGUUCGGAGUUACUGGGCGUAAAGAGUGCGUAGGCGGUGCCCUAAGUCUGUUGUGAAAUCUCCCGGCUUAACUGGGAGGGUGCGGUGGAAACUGGGGUGCUUGAGUGUGGGAGAGGUUAGCGGAAUUCCUGGUGUAGCGGUGAAAUGCGUAGAUAUCAGGAGGAACACCGGUGGUGUAGACGGCUAACUGGACCACGACUGACGCUGAGGCACGAAAGCGUGGGUAGCAAACAGG